rnacentral:lncRNA from 1 species
GCAAAUGGACUAAAGUGAUAAUAAUAAUGAAUAACAAUUCAUGUUCCACUCUCUUUCAUCAUGAUACUCAACAGAGAGACAGAAAAAAUAACCAUGAAACUAAAAAAACACAUUAAAGUAGUUGCAAAAAGAAAUAAAAGUGAGUUUUUGUUUCAACUUUGGUCGGCUAUGUAGUACAAAUGAUCAUCGUGUUUCUCACACAAACACGCUCAACACACACAUAUAUAGAUACAAUUUAUCACAAAAGAGUCAAUCUAUGUUAGUAUUCAGUGCAUAUUAAUUGUCCUCUGCUUGUACCAAACAUAAUAACAAAGCAAGACAACUUAAAGUUGACAUUAAGCUCCUAAAAUAAAUAGCAUUGCAUUUCUUGUUUCCAACCAUUUAAAAUAAAACCAUUGAAAAAAGUGAUCAAAGCAAACAAAUUUCGUUUUAACAUUUGCAAGCGGCAAUAACAUACUAAGGAAAACAUACCCGAGAAGUGGAGGGGGAGACAACAAAAAAAUGAGUGUAAAACCAAG